CUAUUUCUAAAUAUUGCUUAGUUGUUCACCAUCUGUUUGAGGAAAUGCCCAAUUGCAAAACACCCUCAUCUUGCUGUAUGAAACUAUCUUUGUGUGCGCUCUCGCAUGUGAACUCGAUUGUGAUGUGCUUUGGUUGUUUGAAUGACCUACUUUUUGACCUUCCAAAUGUGUUUCAAUAGCUUUAUCAGACAUUAUUUAUAAAUUGGGUGAAAUGAAGAAUGAACUCUAAUGAAAAUAGUUCCAUUUCUUAAGUUUGAGUUUUCCAAGCUUGGCACCUAUAAAAAAAUUUACAAUCUGUGCUUGAUUUUCAUUUAUCCUACUUUACAAUUUUGUCCCCACUGGCAGAUUUGUCCUAUGUAUAAUUUGGUCCCUACUUUACAAUUUUCCUUUGUUCUUCUACUGUACUCACUGUUGCAAGGAAAUUCUGCCUUUCUGGAGUAUUUCUUAGAGGAUUAUCACUUAGCAUUGUUAAGUUAUUCUCUAAGUAGGUAUGUCAAAUCUUGAAUUCAGCUAUUUCAUGUUGAGGUUGAAUGAAAUUGUGUUUCAUGUGUAGUAUUGUGAAGCCAGCAGAAAUCAAAAUGAUUGACUUUGGAUCAGCAUGCACAUGGAAAACCGCACUAUCAGUAUCCUAACAAAUGAAAUUUGUUGUUGAAACUUUUUUCCUCAUGGUUUUUCAAUUUUUGGUGUUUCCUUCCACUUCACUAUCUCUUUUCUUUUGCUACUGCUUCUUGCUGCAGUGUGAUAGUGAUCCUUCUAAGCGAAUACGAUUAUGGAUUGUGCUUUACAAGGAUUGAACUUAGUGAUCUGCUUAGAGCUCUGUUAGCUGCAAUUCUUCUAUUCCAUAUGUCUUACUAAUGAAUCACCUGCAAUUUUUCUAUUGGUGAUAAAGCCAUCAGAAGAAAGACAAAUUUUGUUACUGAUGAUAAAGCUAACCAAGGCAAGCUUGUCUUUACUUAAAUCCUCCUGCAUAUAUACGAUAGAAUAAUAUUUGGUUUGAUUACACUAGCGGUUCCUAUAUUUUUACUCAAUUUUCAAAUAAGUCCUACUCUUGAUUUUUGUGGUGUUAGCAAGGUAGACUCUGACUAAACUUGUGAUUGAUUUCUAAUGUUUCAAAUAACAUUAUUUUUAUCUCUGUUUCUAUUUCAGGGUCCAGGCGUACCGUUUUGGAAAGUGUAAAAUCCGUUUUUAAUAAAUUAUGUGACAGGAUGGAGGCCAAAGAGCUGAGUUUGGUAUGGGAUUUCUUAUUUAAGCUUAGUGAUCUGCUUAGAGCUCUGUUAGCUUUAUCAUUAGUAACCUCAAAAUCCCCUUUCUUCUUUGCUUCUUUCUCACUUCUUCUUCUUUUUUCAGAUCAAGCUAACUUCAGGGUGUAGUAAGGGUUGAUCCUCUUGUCUAAUAAUCACAAUAGCGAAAAAUGGUAUGCUUUCUAGUGUAAUAUUGCCACAAAGGAUAUUUAUUAAGAGAUAUUUUGACCUGUUUUUCUAAUGCAGCCAGCAUGAAUGUCUGUUUUCUAUAUAUGUUGCAAUGGAAACUAUAUUUUCCUUUAGGAAGUAAUUGAAGCCUAAUAAUUCUAAUAUGAAAACAUGCACUUGAUUUAUGUGAUGCUAUUUUCAGCAAAAAUAGUUCUAUUGACCGAAUCUAAUAUUAUCAUCCUUUCAACUCCAACCUUAUUUGAGGCAUAGAAGUAUUUUACUUCUCUGAAAUUUCUAAAGUUGAAAAUUUUCAGCAUUUUGAAGGUAAUUCAUAUUGAGAAGUAGUGAAAUAGCAACCUUUGAUGCCAUCUUCAAUUUUAAAUAACCCCCUAAGUUGUGUUCCCUUUUUUCCCUGUUUUUCAUAUCACCAUUGAAAGUUGUUCAUUUUUUAUAACAUUAUUUUAAUUCAGAUUUGGAAUAUCUUAAUAAGAUUUCAUAUUUUUCAUUAUUGCAUGUUUGAGUGAUGAGAAUUGAGAAUUUCUUUAAAUCACCAAUUAGGUUUCAUCUACCGCUGUUACUAAAUGGAAAUGUUGCAGGAAGCUAAUGAAAAAUCAAAAGCCGUUACAAAAGUAUCUGCUAUGAAAGCUAUCAAGAAGAGGAUGGAGAAGGAUAUUGAUGAAGUUGGAAAGAUUGCACAUGGUGUCAAAACAAAA